AGAGUUUGAUCCUGGCUCAGGACGAACGCUGACGGUGUGCUUUAGGCAUGCAAGUCGAACGAGAAAGCCCUUCGGGGUGAGUAAAGUGGCGAACGGGUGAGUAACACGUGGGCAACCUGCCCCUCGCAGGGGGACAACCGGAGGAAACUCCGGCUAAUACCCCGUAAGCUCUACACGCCGCAUGGCGAGUAGAGGAAAGGUAGCUUCGGCCAUCCGGCGAGGGAUGGGCCCGCGGUGCAUUAGCUAGUUGGUGGGGUAACGGCCCACCAAGGCGACGAUGCGUAGCUGGUCUGAGAGGACGAUCAGCCACACUGGGACUGAGACACGGCCCAGACUCCUACGGGAGGCAGCAGUCGGGAAUCUUGCGCAAUGGGCGAAAGCCUGACGCAGCAACACCGUGUGGGCGACGAAGGCCUUCGGGUCGUAAAGCCCUGUUGUUGGGGACGAAGGGCGAAGGGUUAAUAGCCCCUAGCCUGACGGUACCCUUCGAGGAAGCCCCGGCUAACUACGUGCCAGCAGCCGCGGUAAUACGUAGGGGGCGAGCGUUGUCCGGAAUUAUUGGGCGUAAAGAGCGUGUAGGCGGUUCGGUAAGUCUGCCGUGAAACCCUAGGGCUCAACCCUAGGCGUGCGGUGGAUACUGCCGGGCUAGAGGGUGGUAGAGGCGAGUGGAAUUCCCGGUGUAGCGGUGAAAUGCGCAGAUAUCGGGAGGAACACCAGUAGCGAAGGCGGCUCGCUGGGCCAUUCCUGACGCUGAGACGCGAAAGCAUGGGGAGCGAACAGGAUUAGAUACCCCAGUAGUCC
rnacentral:rRNA from 1 species